rnacentral:ncRNA from 2 species
AAAUUAACUUCAUGUAAGGGUGUCCAUAGAUGGACUUAAUAGGGAAUUCGGUGAGAAUCCGAAACUGUCCCCGCAACUGUAAGUGUGAACGAAAAAGGAUAGACCACUGCAUCCGCUCGAUGCGGGAAGGUCCUUUAGUAGGCUGCACACAAGUCAGGAGACCUGCCUUCACAUGAUAAAGUUU